GAUGAACGCUGGCGGCGUGCCUAAUACAUGCAAGUCGAGCGAACGGACGAGAAGCUUGCUUCUCUGAAGUUAGCGGCGGACGGGCGAGUAACACGUGGAUAACCUACCUAUAAGACUGGGAUAACUUCGGGAAACCGGAGCUAAUACCGGAUAAUAUUUUGAAACGCAUGGUUCAAAAGUGAAAGACGGUUUAGCUGUCACUUAUAGAUGGAUCCUCGCCGCAUUAGCUAGUUGGUAAGGUAACGGCUUACCAAGGCAACGAUGCAUAGCCGACCUGAGAGGAUAGUCGGCCACCCGGGAACUGAUACCCGCUCCCGUUUCGCACGGGAAGCCGCAGUAGGCUAUGUUCCGCAAUGGGCGAAAUCCUGCCGGAGCACCGCCAUGUGCAUGAUGUAGUACUUCGGAUCCUUACUCUCUGUUAUUAGGAAAGAACAAAUAUUUAAUACACUAUGCCCGUCUUUAGGGUCACUAAUCCGUGUCCCACGCGUCACUACCUG
rnacentral:rRNA from 1 species